UACGUAGGGUGCGAGCGUUGUCCGGAAUGAUUGGGCGUAAAGCGUCCGCAGGUGGCUAUGUAAGUCUGCUGUUAAAGAGUGAGGCUCAACCUCAUAAAAGCAGUGGAAACUACAUGGCUAGAGUGCGUUCGGGGCAGAGGGAAUUCCUGGUGUAGCGGUGAAAUGCGUAGAGAUCAGGAAGAACACCGGUGGCGAAAGCGCUCUGCUAGGCCGCAACUGACACUGAGGGACGAAAGCUAGGGGAGCGAAUGGG
rnacentral:rRNA from 1 species